UCUUAAAGGCAUAGAGGAUGUGUUUCAGGUGCCUGGAGUCAGAGCAUGUAAUCCAGCUGGGUCAGAUUGUCUCUCAUGGGAAGACAGACUCGCAGCGAAUAAGAACUUGUGUCAAAUGACCCUGGCAGACAUGAAAGGAUCAGGUCGUCUGAGAAGAACAAGCUCCAUGAGCGUGUCAAGCCAGGAUGACAGGGAUGGUUAUGGAGGUCUUAACAGAAUAACUCCAGGGUCUGCUGCUCCUGAAAGGCACUGCCUGAUCGACCCAUUACCAGAAACACACACAGGCACAUCUGUAACAUUGCAUUCAGGAGGCGCCAGUGGUGUACUUCUUGGUGAAAGAGAUCUGUCUUCAGUUCAUGAGCCCUUGCCGAUGCCUCCUGACACAGAAGGGAUUCAUAGCCCUCUUCUUGAACAGACAAUAGAAGACAGCAGGUGGCUGGCGUUGUACACAUUCAGACUGCGGUUACGCUGCCUCAGGACAUGGUACGGGCAGAGGAGGUCACACACACAGGCCAGGCUGCAGCACCGGAAACACCUCCUGGAGGCUGGCUUCUCUGCCCUGAGGCGGGCCACCGUGAUCCGCCGCGCCCGGGCACACACCCUGGCCAGGGCCACGGACGCCCUGACCCUUGCCCACUGUUUCCUUCGGGUCGGUAAUUAUGCUCGGCCUGGGUGCUGCCUUGUUUGUGCAGCACCCCUGUGUAUGUCGGUUAGGUGACGAGUCGGCGGGCUCCCAGGCUAAGCCGGAGUUUGGGCUGAACCGUAACUGAGACUCAGGGAGCAUGCUCAGUUGCAAACGUCUCUCAUAACUUCACAUGGAUUUGCUUCUACUGUCUUAGCUCAUUAAUGACAUGACACCUGUCUCUCCACCAGGUGGCAGUACUCUUACGGAGUUUAACUAUGUGCUUCAGUGACAUGACUCGCGCAAACUGUAGCUUUCCCUUGUAACGGUGUGCAGUGGAGGAGGUGUGUGGAGCAGAGGUGUUGUCCCGGAUCUGAGGGGGGUGAAGUUGGGGACGUGGGGGCCCUCCGGACGAGACUGACCCAGCCUAGUGACACCCCGGUCCUGAGGACGGCCUGCUGCUCCUGGAGGAGCCACAUCCAGGGCUGGCAGCUCCAGAGGGCAGCGCUCAUC